UACGUAGGGUGCGAGCGUUGUCCGGAAUUAUUGGGCGUAAAGGGCUCGUAGGCGGUCUGUUGCGUCAGGAGUGAAAACUCGGGGCUUAACCCCGAGCCUGCUUCUGAUACGGGCAGACUAGAGGUAUGCAGGGGAGAACGGAAUUCCUGGUGUAGCGGUGAAAUGCGCAGAUAUCAAGGAAGAACACCCGUGGCGAAGGCGGCUCUCUGGGACGGUACUGACGCUGAGACGCGAAAGCGUGGGGAGCGAACAGGAUAGAUACCGU
rnacentral:rRNA from 1 species